rnacentral:rRNA from 1 species
CCUACGGGAGGCAGCAGUGAGGAAUAUUGGUCAAUGGACGAGAGUCUGAACCAGCCAAGUAGCGUGAAGGAUGACUGCCCUAUGGGUUGUAAACUUCUGUCAGCAGGGAAGAACGGUCACUGUGCUAAUCAGCAGUGAAUUGACGGUACCUGCAAAGGAAGCACCGGCUAACUCCGUGCCAGCAGCCGCGGUAAUACGGAGGGUGCGAGCGUUAAUCGGAAUUACUGGGCGUAAAGCGCUCGUAGGCGGUAUGUCAAGUCAAGGGUGAAAUCCCCGCGCUCAACGUGGGAACUGCCUUUGAAACUGGCAAACUGGAGUGUGUGAGAGGAUAGUGGAAUUCCAGGUGUAGGAGUGAAAUCCGUAGAUAUCUGGAGGAACAUCAGUGGCGAAGGCGACUAUCUGGCACAUAACUGACGCUGAGGAGCGAAAGCGUGGGUAGCAAACAGGAUUAGAUACCCCUGUAGUC